rnacentral:lncRNA from 1 species
AUGGAUCUCACAGUUUGCCUUUUUCUUGCUGUGCUUUCAGGUUUGCUGUCUCUACUUCUGCUCUCAAGUCACAGGGAAGGAUUUUCAAGAAGGCACUUGAAUGUACUUGAAGGUAUUUCCAGGGAGCUUCCUUCUUGUCUGAGAAUACAUGACUGUGACAGAUACAUUACUCUCCAGUUGGUAGGGAGUUUUCUAUGGACUGCACAAGGCUUUGGAUCAUCCCCUUGGAAACACUCAGAAACCUGCAUUUGAACUCUGCAUGAUCUUGGGUUAAAAAUUGCCAGAGUGAUUCAAAAGGUUCCAAAAGGAAAAUACUAUUUUGUGAAGCACUUAUAAUAAGGUUUGUCCUUGCAUCUAACCUUCCCAGCUUCAUUUACCUGUCCUAUUAUAGGUUGUUUGACUAACUUUUAUCAGGUAUCGCAUUUUGUGUGCAUGUUGUUCCUGGUGUUUGUUUGUCUGUUUAAUGUCCCCUAAAACCUUUAUAAAAUCAGGUUGUUGCAUCUCACGAGGCUGAGAAAAUACAUGACCAGUGAAGAGACAUCAUUGUAAUACAGAAGGUUGCAUUUUGUUUAUUGGUUUGCUUUUAAAACAUCUUUGUGUUUUGUUGAGGGUCAGAGGCAUAUCUGGAUAUUAGACGAUGUGCCAUUAGAUGAUGGCAACAUGCCUUGCCCUUUGGUUUGCUGAGCUGGGACUUACUAUUGCUCUGCUUUGUUACUUACUAUUGUAUCUUAGGCUGUAAACUCUUCAGGAAGAAUAGGUUUUAUAUAUUUAUAUAUAUAUUUGACAGUAAAACAUUUGCAGUGCAGUAUCUUUGUACAGGCUGAGGGCACAUUAUGUUAUUAUCUAUGAAUAAAAAUAAUAAAUCUAAGGCA